rnacentral:rRNA from 1 species
AUGCUCGUGGCGCUGCCAACCUUUGCCCUGUCAGUGCUUCGGGCGCCAAAAAAAUUCCUUGCUGAGGUGGACAAAGUUCGAAGAAGAUUCCUCUAGGCAUAAGAAGAAGAACUCAGUGGGGGAAAAUGCAAAGUCACUUGGACUGUGAUUUGCUCUCCAAUUGAGAAUGGUGGUUUAGGAAUCUUGGACCUAAACCGCUUCAGUAGGGCACUUUGGCUGCGAUGGCUCUGGCUGUCCCGGACAAGUCCGGAUAGGCCCUGGUUCGGCAUGCAACUGCCAUGUGAUGAUGGAGACCGAGCUUUGUUCAAUGUCUCCACCUCGGUCACGCUAGGCAAUGGCGAAAUGGCCUCCUUCUGGCACUGUUCCUGGACAGGCUCGGGCAACCUGAAGACAACAUUUCCCACUCUUUUCAGGCAUUCUAGAAGCCAAAAACCGAUCGGUCAAGCAAGCCCUGGCAAACGAUACAUGGAUACAAGUUCUCGCCCUUGGAGACACCCAGCACCUUUGGGCCGAAACAAUCAGGCUGCACAGGUGGAUCCAAGCCGCUGA